rnacentral:lncRNA from 1 species
CUGCCCUUACUGCCAAACAACUGCAAGUCUUAUAACAUCUUACUGACUACAAUAUCAACACCAGUUGCCUGAUGAUAGUGUCAUAUAUGUUGAAUUCACUGUACAGUGUUACCAUACCAUGGCCAGUCCAAAAAAUUUUUGACUGUACUUGUGUGUACGUAUAUGUGGAAAUCAUUGCCUCUGCAAAUCAGGUUGACAUAUUUCAAACUUACUCGUGCAUAUACAGCUCCCCAACCAACUUAUGUAAAUUGAUUUUAUGCAAAAUAUUUUCCAUAACUUUUUUUUCCAGAUAUAGAGCAUAAUAUCUAUUGUAUUUGUAGAUUACAAGUGUGAAUAUGU